rnacentral:rRNA from 1 species
CCUACGGGUGGCUGCAGUGAGGAAUAUUGGUCAAUGGACGAGAGUCUGAACCAGCCAAGUAGCGUGAAGGAUGACUGCUCUAUGGGUUGUAAACUUCUUUUAUAUGGGAAUAAAAUGUUCCACGUGUGGGGUUUUGUAUGUACCAUAUGAAUAAGGAUCGGCUAACUCCGUGCCAGCAGCCGCGGUAAUACGGAGGAUCCGAGCGUUAUCCGGAUUUAUUGGGUUUAAAGGGAGCGUAGGCGGCUUGUUAAGUCAGUUGUGAAAGUUUGCGGCUCAACCGUAAAAUUGCAGUUGAAACUGGGAGUCUUGAGUACAGUAGAGGUAGGCGGAAUUCGUGGUGUAGCGGUGAAAUGCUUAGAUAUCACGAAGAACUCCGAUUGCGAAGGCAGCUCACUGGACUGCGACUGACACUGAGGCUCGAAAGUGUGGGGAUCAAACAGGAUUAGAUACCCGAGUAGUC